GUGGAAACGAAAACAUGCCAAAUGGGUAAGUGAGGGUUAAAAGCGAAAGCUGCAAGAGGAGAGAGAAAGACAGAGACUGAAGGACUUGGUAAUUAGGCAGACGGCAACGUAUAGCACAUCAGUAUGCGGAGUAUGCAAAUUGACCGGCUGGCUUGCUCUCGCUCUUUUUUUUUUUUUUUUUGGUCAUGGAUCAAAAGGCAAAGAGCUGCAGAGAAGAAUUAAGAGCGAUUAUUCCACCCAAGGAAAAGCUGAUGUAUGCAAACGAGCAGCAGAAGGCGGAGCGCAAAGACCACUGUGCAACCAGAGAUAUACAGUGGACUUUACUGCAAGUACAAUCACACAAAUACAGCAUGAUUAUGCCUCACACCUUGGGGAGAUACUUAAAGAUUUGUGCUGGAAAUACCGAAGGAGAACACGACAAUCAGACAUGCGCCUUCAUUUCCCAUUACGCCUAUCUCCACUUAUUGAUAGGCUGCCUCGCGGAUGAUAAUUACCUUUUGGAAUAUUGAAAUGCGAAACGAGCCUCGGAAUGAAAGCACCAGACGGGAGGACAGAAAAAAGGAAAGAGCGGAGGUAUGCAAAGGCGCUAAUGAUAUUCACUGCGCUCACUGUGUCAUCUGCAUGACGACAACGGCCAAUUAUAAUGAACCAUUGGCUCUCCGCCACAAAUAAGUAGGAGAGAGGAGGUUGAAGAGGAGGGGGAGGGGUUAAAGAGGG